rnacentral:rRNA from 1 species
GACGAACGCUGGCGGCGUGCUUAACACAUGCAAGUCGAACGGAAAGGCCCUGCUUUUGUGGGGUGCUCGAGUGGCGAACGGGUGAGUAACACGUGAGUAACCUGCCCUUGACUUUGGGAUAACUUCAGGAAACUGGGGCUAAUACCGGAUAGGAGCUCCUGCUUCAUGGUGGGGGUUGGAAAGUUUGGGCGGUUGGGGAUGGACUCGCGGCUUAUCAGCUUGUUGGUGGGGUAGUGGCUUACCAAGGCUUUGACGGGUAGCCGGCCUGAGAGGGUGACCGGCCACAUUGGGACUGAGAUACGGCCCAGACUCCUACGGGAGGCAGCAGUGGGGAAUAUUGCACAAUGGGCGGAAGCCUGAUGCAGCAACGCCGCGUGCGGGAUGACGGCCUUCGGGUUGUAAACCGCUUUCGCCUGUGACGAAGCGUGAGUGACGGUAAUGGGUAAAGAAGCACCGGCUAACUACGUG